ACAGCCUCCUACAGUAAAAUCUUUGUUGUAUUGUAAACAACUGCAAGAAUGUGUCUACAAGAGGAAACGGCAGCCAAAAGGCAGAUGUAAGCCCAAGGCCUAGAAGAUACUUUUCCACUUCAACUUGCUCUGAUCCCAGCUAACCACAGUUGCUCAGGUGAGAAAACUGAGGAAGAGUGGAUAUGAGGAUGUUGCCCAAGGUCAGAGGGGUCUGGCAUGUGAACUCAAGUGCUGACAACCAUUCUUUUUCCCACCCACUGAGGAUGUGUGGACCUUUUCAUUAUUUCUGAAUAUGAAUAGACAUUUUUUUAAAUGCAAAGCCUGGUGUAUGCGCCUGCCUGCAGGACCCAUUCUGUGCAGCGUGUGUGGGGAUGUGUCUGAGCGUCCAAUGCUGCCCUCAGUGCUCUGCUACCAACCUAUGUUUCUUUAUCAGCAGCCUCUUACUGGUGAGCCCUUGAUGGAGCGUGACAUCCUGUCUGUGCGUGAUGUAGAGCACAGAGCGUAUCAAGUGACUGCACUACACCAGUGAAGUGAAUGCUCAUGGUGUCCUAUGAAGACGGAGAAAGGUGGAUUCCUUUGCUAAAAGAUGGACUGAAGCCGGGUCAUGUUGACCAAGCGAUGUGAAAGUGAAGUCCUCAAGUUUACUGGUUAGCUGUGAAUAUAGUUUUGAGAUUCCUUGGAUCUUCUGCAGGAGAGUAUUGGAAAAUAGAAACAUAACUGCAUUUUAUCAGCAGGAAGAAGAGAGACUGGUCCUUGAGAAGCACUUUGAGUGUUUACAGUUCUUUCCUAAAGCAUGUUUUCAUUUAAAGUAAUGGGCAAUUUGGAAAAAAAAGUAUGGAGAGUGCUGUGUAAUUUAGUUACACCCAAGAAUUUAUUUUAUGGCAAGUCUCAUUUCUCUCUCACUGAAGUAUACACAAUUAGAGGCCUUCUUGUUGUGGAAGUACUUGUAUAAUUGAGUAAACAGGGAUAAAAAAAUAUAGGGGAUGUUAGGCUAACCUUUUCCCAGUCUUAUUAAAU